rnacentral:rRNA from 1 species
GAUGAACGCUAGCUACAGGCUUAACACAUGCCAGUCGAGGGGCAGCAUGACCUAGCAAUAGGUUGAUGGCGACCGGCGCACGGGUGAGUAACACGUAUCCAACCUGCCGAUUAUUCCGGGAUAGCCUUUCGAAAGAAAGAUUAAUACUGGAUAGCAUAACGAGAAGGCAUCUUCUUGUUAUUAAAGAAUUUCGAUAAUCGAUGGGGAUGCGUUCCAUUAGUUUGUUGGCGGGGUAACGGCCCACCAAGACAUCGAUGGAUAGGGGUUCUGAGAGGAAGGUCCCCCACAUUGGAACUGAGACACGGUCCAAACUCCUACGGGAGGCAGCAGUGAGGAAUAUUGGUCAAUGGACGAGAGUCUGAACCAGCCAAGUAGCGUGAAGGAUGACUGCCCUAUGGGUUGUAAACUUCUUUUAUAUGGGAAUAAAGUGGGCCACGUGUGGCUUUUUGUAUGUACCAUACGAAUAAGGAUCGGCUAACUCCGUG